rnacentral:rRNA from 1 species
GCUAAACGCGAAGAACCUUACCAAGGCUUGACAUAUACCGUUUAUCCCUAGAGAUAGGGAGUCCUUCGGGGCGGUAUACAGGUGGUGCAUGGUUGUCGUCAGCUCGUGUCGUGAGAUGUUGGGUUAAGUCCCGCAACGAGCGCAACCCUCGUUCUAUGUUGCCAGCACGUAAUGGUGGGAACUCUUGGGAGACCGCCGGCGACAAGCCGGAGGAAGGUGGGGAUGACGUCAAGUCAUCAUGCCCUUUAUGCCCUGGGCUACACACGUGCUACAAUGGUCGGUACAGAGGGAAGCCAAGGCGCGAGCCGGAGCGAAUCCCCCAAAGCCGGCCCCAGUUCGGAUCGCAGGCUGCAACCCGCCUGCGUGAAGUAGGAAUCGCUAGUAAUCGCGAAUCAGAAUGUCGCGGUGAAUACGUUCCCGGGUC